rnacentral:rRNA from 1 species
GCCUAACACAUGCAAGUCGAACGAGUAAGAGCCGUAGCAAUACGGAGUUCUGCUAGUGGCGCACGGGUGAGUAACGCGUGGGAAACUGCCUUUUAGUAUGGAAUAACAGCGGGAAACUGCUGCUAAUACCGUAUACGCCCUCCGGGGGAAAGAUUUAUCGCUAAAAGAUGUGCCCGCGUCAGAUUAGGUAGUUGGUGGGGUAAUGGCCUACCAAGCCGACGAUCUGUAGCUGGUCUGAGAGGAUGAUCAGCCACACUGGGACUGAGACACGGCCCAGACUCCUACGGGAGGCAGCAGUGGGGAAUAUUGGACAAUGGGGGAAACCCUGAUCCAGCAAUGCCGCGUGAGUGAUGAAGGCCUUAGGGUUGUAAAGCUCUUUCGAUAGGGAAGAUAAUGACGGUACCUAUAGAAGAAGCCCCGGCUAACUUCGUGCCAGCCGCCGCAGUAAGAC